rnacentral:rRNA from 1 species
UCCGUAGGUGAACCUGCGGAAGGAUCAUUAUUGAAUUUUAGGACUCUCUUUUUAGAGGUCCGACCCUUUCAUUUCCAUACACUGUGCACACACUUCUUUUCACACAUUUUAACACUAUAGUAUAAGAAUGUAACAGUCUCUUUAUUGAGCAUAAAUAAAAAUAAAACUUUCAGCAACGGAUCUCUUGGCUCUCGCAUCGAUGAAGAACGCAGCGAAUUGCGAUAAGUAAUGUGAAUUGCAGAAUUCAGUGAAUCAUCGAAUCUUUGAACGCACCUUGCACUCUUUGGUAUUCCGAAGAGUAUGUCUGUUUGAGUGUCAUGAAACUCUCAACCCCCCUAUUUUGUAAUGAGAUGGGCGUGGGCUUGGAUUAUGACUGCUGUCGGCGUAAUUGCCGGCUCAGUUGAAAUACACGAGCAACCCAUUUGAAAUAAACGGCUUGACUCGGCGUAAUAAUUAUUUCGCUGAGGACGUUUUCUUCAAAAGUUAGAGGUGCUUCUAAUGCGCUAUUACAGCACUUUAAAUUUUAGACCUCAAAUCAGUCAGGACUACCCGCUGAACUUAAGCAUAUCAAUAAGCGGAGGAA